rnacentral:lncRNA from 1 species
AUUAGUUUCAACAGCCAAUUCAUCACGCACUUAGAUAUAUGUAUAUAUAUGUGUAUAUGUGUACAUAUUUGUGUGUAGAUAAUCACUGUUGGAAAUGAAUUCCAUCUACAGAACAUUCCAGUACUGAGCUCACUCGAAAAGCAAAUAUCAAAGAAUCCCAGAUUCAGUUUGCUUUUGUGCAUUGCUGAUCUACAAACAGAGAAGGUCACUUUUAUUUUCUGACUCUGUUUUGUUCUUUUGAUAGAUUUGAAUGUAUUCUUAAAAAAGAAAAAAAUGGGUGUUAUUUUAUUGCCUUAAUUUAGUUAAUAAAAGUCGCUUUAUUAAGGAUUUUGUUUUUUUUUUUGUUUUCAAUUUGACCACGUUGAUGGCUUGCGAGACUCGUCAAAGGAAAGAUUCAGUUUGAUCUCUUUGUAUUUCGUUGUCUAUUACUCUAUUUUAGCUGGGUUUUGUUUUCCAAUUUCGUUUUGGAAAACAGAAGAUUAGAUUUCACCAUCAACUCAGUUUCUUGUCGUUGUUUUCGUUUUCGUUUUCGUUUUCGUUUCGUUUAAUUUGUUUGUUUUUGGAAUGGGGUUUUGGAAAACAGAAAUUGGCCCAUUUGGGUUUCUUUAUUUUGGUUUUCUGUGAGUGCAUUGGUGCUAAAAAUUGGGUGUUGUUGGGAUCGGAAAACAGGGAUUGGAGCGAAAUGGAUUCGUCUGUGAAACCCAUUGACGAGGUGGUGGAGGAGAUCAUGAGAAUCCAAAGGUCUCUGACGGUCGAGGCCCG